UUCAUCCUGGAGAAGAACAGAGCUUUCUGACUCCUGUCCUUCUGCAUGGUCUGCUGCACUUGGUGGGGAUCUACAGAGAUGCCACCCAAGUCAGUACAGAAGGGGCCUUAGGACAUCUGCUUCAAUCUCCCCAGGGGCCACAGAACUGCCAUUCUCCCAAGGCCACUUAUGGCAGGACUUCUGGACCAUUAAGUCAUACUCAACUCAAAGGUGAGUUGGUCCAGAGUGCUAAGAAGCCACCGCCACGUGAGCAGACCUCCCAUGAAUGCUGUGGCCUCCUCAAUGGCAGGGAAAGGUUUGGCUCCAAUCUGCAGCUGUCUACCCCAGAAGCCUCAGGUGAAUCCAGGCCAGGCCAUGACAGCAGCCCCUGGCCACAGAGGCUACAUUCUCUUCCAGGCCUCACUUGUCCAACCUCCCAGACAAACUUCUACCCAAAAAUCCUGGUCCAGAGCAAGACAACCUCCAACAGUUUUGGAGUAAAUUAGGAUAGUGCAAAAUUUACAGCCCAC
rnacentral:lncRNA from 1 species